AUAUCUCUCCGUACGGGAAGGAUGAGAAGCUUCGACUAAGGUUCGAUUCGAGCGCAGCGAGAACGCGUUGCCGCAGGCAACGACCCGAAGGGCGAAGCGCGCAGCGCUGAGUCAUCCUUCCCCCACCA
rnacentral:sRNA from 1 species